rnacentral:rRNA from 1 species
UACGUAGGGUGCGAGCGUUGUCUGGAAUUAUUGGGCGUAAAGAGCUCGUAGGCGGUGUGUCACGUCGUUCGUGAAAACCUGCAGCUUAACUGUGGGCGUGCGGUCGAUACGGGCAUCACUGGAGUUCGGCAGGGGAGACUGGAAUUCCUGGUGUAGCGGUGAAAUGCGCAGAUAUCAGGAGGAACACCGGUGGCGAAGGCGGGUCUCUGGGCCGAUACUGGCGCUGAGGAGCGAAAGCGUGGGGAGCAAACAGG